GCCCAGAUUUAAGCCAAGGUAUUGGAAAUGUUACUGAAUGCCAGGGGUUACACAGAACCUGCAGCCUAAGUCUCGUUGGGCUCCCCAAGGAAGCGCCUGGCUCUGAGCUUCCUUUUAAUAAUUGAAAAUCCCAGAUGCUCCCUGUGGAAAGAGAUUCAUAUAUGCUGUGUGUCUGGGGGGGGGGGGCGGCGGGGAGAGGUAAGGCUCGUGAAAAAGCAAUCUCUCUCCAAUUCAAAGUCUGAGUUCUUGAUUUAAACAGAAUUUGUUUUUCUAACCAGUUGGGAAGCGUCUCUCCAAGUUGGAAGCAGAAACUAGGAUGUUUGCCCCACUCCCCACUUGAGCUCUGCCCUCUGAAUAAAAAAAGUCACUCUUACUCAUUUUCUAGCUUCAGACCAAAGGACAAGACGGAAAGAGCCCUCCGAGAUGAUAUUUUCACAUUUUUAAAAUUCUUUCUCCUUCUUGAAUGGACGCCAUACUGGACAGCAAGGAGGUGCCCACACUCACCUGUGUGGACAGCCCCGAUGUUCUGCCUGAGGAGCACAGAUGAAAACCACAACUUCUUGACAGCCUGCCUAGUGAGCUGCGGCCAAGUCAAGCCUCCUUGCCCCUGUGUCUCUCCAAGGAAGAGAUAUCAGGUGCCAGUGACCCAGGGAAGCUUCCAUUUGUGGAGCCCCUUAUUCAAAACUCGGCCCCAGUCCUCAUAACAGCACCCUUGGGGGGAAGGUUGAUGCAGCAGGGAGAGAAACAGGACCCAUGAGCACCGUGUACCUAGGAUUCAGGAACUUCACCUGCUCUGAAGUGUGUUAACUUACCUUUCCUCUCUCCCCUCACUUCCCUCCGUGUGACUUAGGUUGAGUUUAAUAAACUGUGUCAUUCAAGCAUCUGAA